UACGAAGGGAGCUAGCGUUGUUCGGAAUCACUGGGCGUAAAGGGUGCGUAGGCGGGUCUUUAAGUCAGGGGUGAAAUCCUGGAGCUCAACUCCAGAACUGCCUUUGAUACUGAGGAUCUUGAGUUCGGGAGAGGUGAGUGGAACUGCGAGUGUAGAGGUGAAAUUCGUAGAUAUUCGCAAGAACACCAGUGGCGAAGGCGGCUCACUGGCCCGAUACUGACGCUGAGGCACGAAAGCGUGGGGAGCAAACAGG
rnacentral:rRNA from 1 species